rnacentral:lncRNA from 1 species
AUUACUUCAUCUAAUAUUACAAGCACAGGAUUUUCCUGUCUGCCUCGGGGGAAAUGAUUCGCCCUUUUCCGUUUGUAUGGACAGCAGACCGGUGUGCCCUGUGUAUGCGUUCACCGGAGGCUGCUCUUCUUAGCUUAAAUUUUCAACAAAUCCUUUACAUGUUGGAGGAACUGCAAAAGUUAACAUGCAUACCUACAAUCUUGAGUACCUUUAAAAGCUAUAACCGUGGCACUAAGGUCCUUGGCCACCCCCAACAUAUGCCUACAAAUAAUAUACACACGCACACAUUGUUUAGAAAUAGAGACAAACUAGUAGAUGAAAUUCAAACUUAAAGCCAUCACAAGCAUUGCAAAUUGGUAGGCCACUACGACACGAAUUAUAUACCUAUACACAGUGCUGAAUAUUAGCUAUUAAUUCAAUUACUUCGCAUCCCUUGUCUCGAGUCAAAAAACAUUAAUAACCAAUUCAAAAGCUACUAAGUCCCCGUAUGCUUCACAGAAAAUGUGACAUUUCUAGAAAAUGUUUUUUGUAAAGUCAUUUUUUAAGGAAAGCGAUAAUAUUUUUUGGUAUUUGACUGAAAGUUGAAAGGAAAGUAUAUUUUUUUCCUUUUCUAAAUAAACAUGCAUUUCCCAUGUUUGGUCUCUAGCCCAGCCUCUUCAAACCCGGGUCAAUAGGCCGGGCUCAGGCCCUUCAAGGCCAAACAUUAGAAAAAAAUCUGGUCUUUAUGCCAUAAUGCGUUAUCUUCAAAGGACAACCUAUUCCGACAAUGCAUUAUCCCCGACCCGGUACGUAAGCUCUAUUCCUCUCACACCCCAGAAACAACAGAACAUAUAUUUCUUUUUUGCCCCUGGACACAGCAUAUUCGGUCCCAUUCCCAAGUACAAAUUGACAUAUCAGCAUACAGAACACACCGAAUGGAUGAAUGGUUGGCAAAUUUACUUGAGCAGAAGGCGAACUUACAAGCUUUCGAGAUCAUCGCGGCACUUCUGUGGUAGAUCUGGAAGGCGCGCAAUCUUUUUGUCUUUCGCCACCAACGCACACACCCAGAUUAGCUUGUGGAAAUGGCUCUCAAUCUUGCGCAGAUCAAUCUAACAACUCAGCAGCCGGAGUCGAGCACGGGCACCCCACGGCUGAACCCUAAUCGACUGUGGAUCCCCACGCAACAAGGCAUAGUUAAAAUUAACCUUGACGGAGCCUUUCCAACAGCGAAUCACAUGGGAGCCAUCGCGAGUAUUCGCCGAGAUCACUCGGGCACACUAAUUGGUGGCUUUACCCGCAGCGUCCCAGCAUCCUCUACAUUCGAAACAGAGAUCCAAGCACUUUUAUUCACUCUCGAAGAUCUGUUGCAGCAAGGAAAGGCCGAAACUCACCUGCUGAUGGAAUCCGACAGUCUUAUCCUUGUUGAAACCGUGAACCAUUGCCGUCUGCCGUCGUGGGAAUAGCGUGCUCUGUUCGCCGAGAGGGAAUCCUUAUCUGUUUUCCAAACCUACAUGUUCAACACUGCAGAUGAGAAGCAAACACCAUUGCCGAUUGGGCCGAUGGCCGCGGAACUCUAUCACCGAACUGGGCCACUUCACCUCCCCAAAUCCUUUUGGACAUGCUUUGUAAUGAAGCCCUAAUCAAGGGUUGUUCCUUUUUCCCUACUUGAAUGAAAUACUAUGCUCUUUCGAC